ACCACACUCAUACCUUGUCCUAAGUUUUUCGCUGAGCUCCCUUGUCGCUGCGUUUCCUCCGCUUGGCAUCCGUCGCGUGGUCGUCCGCCGUCACUUAUCAUAAUCCUGAUGUGCUCCACUACUCGCAGAAUGCCACGCCGCUCCUCCAUCGCCAUUCCCUUCGCUCAUUCACUCGCGUUUGUCAUCGCCGUCUCUUUCGCUGGCAUCCCGUCGCUGCGCCGUCCCCAUUGAAUUUGAUAUUUACCAUCGAAUUUUAUUUAAUGUUCCCCAUCCAUCUUUUGUUACAAUUGCUCUUGAAGAAGGAUUUCAGCAAGGAAAACAUGGAUAAACUGAGACAUGGAGUUUAUGAGCCUUUGGAUGUGAAUCUCCUCCCACCUUCGCAUCUAAUCUAUGCUGAAAAUCCUAGUGAUUCUGGGAAGUGUGACCUCCUUUCUCCUUGAAUCUCACCGGUACAGCGCCGCCACUAUCAGCAACCGCCGUCAGACAUUGCCCCACCAUUGUUCUGACUCGUGCCGUCGUCCACUAACGCCCAACGCCAAGGGAGGACGCGCAUAUUGUGUGAGCCGAAUGCGCGGCACCGCAGCAACCCAGACGUCCAGCGACUCCAUCGCAGCCGAUGUGUGCCUUCUUCCCGACGUCGACGUCGACGUCGCAAGAGAAAGGGCUCUCGAGUGUGUUUCAUCUUUCACGUUCAUCAUUCCGCGGAAGUUUCUUAAUGGAGGUUAGUUUGGUUGAACCGCUGUGUCAUGUUCCAUCUUCCGGAGGUAAUGAGAAUUCAUCACAUCCACAUGAAAACGUAGCCAACCACUCCAUCGUUGAGGGUGAGCAAUGUAAUAAGGUGAGCAACAUACGUUGAAAGUAUUGAUAAUGGAUGGUUAUUUUCAAGCGAUUUAGAUGUUCAUAAUCAAUGCAAGUGGCGUAUUUAGUUUUAUGUUUUAUGCUUAUCCAGAUGCAUCAUAAACAUUCAUGAUUCAACCACAUUUGGGAUGAUUUUAUAUUCAUGGUAUGCUUAUAUGUAUGAAGCCCUUGGUUUGUAUUAAUUGAUCAUGGCAUAUUUUGUUGACGCUGGAUGAAACUAGAUAUUUAAUUGACUAUCUUUUAUUGAUAUAUGAAUUUAUAUGACUAAAUUUAAAUUGCAUGUACAAGCAUGAGACUUGAAUACUUUGGAGACCUUGACACCCAAUAAGUAAGCACCUAUGUUCUUGUGCAUGAUGGCAAUAGAUCUGCUGGAAUAUUAGUAGUGAUGUAUAUUGAAUAUGAAAUGCAGCUAAUGGUAUUAUUAUUAUUGAAAUUAUAUUUCAAAAAGAAAAUUAAAUAGGCAAGAAAAUUAAAUACUUCCUGCAUGUUUAGAUUAGAAUACAUAUAUGAUCAUACAUCAUAUGGCUAUGGCUCCAUCCCCUGAGAAAUCACCGUGGAGAGUAGCAAAUAGUCCUUUUUCUCCAACUGCAUCAAUGCUUGCAAAUGUUAGAAAGUCAUUUAUAGCUAAGAAUAUCAUUUAGAUUGUUGGUGCUGGUCUUUUGAUAUUUAUUUUGUUAGGCGUUUGUAUUUUUAUACCGUGGUGCUUUAAGCGAAAGCCAGAGAAGAAAAAUGCCAAGAAGCAAAAUGUUGGUGUCUUCGAAAGUCCUUUACAUAAACCUACUUGCAGUGACACUUCCUUUGAAGCAACCAAUCAGAAGAAAUUCUUUGUUGGGAGACAGUAUGCAGCCGAAGUUUUAUAUAUGCAUGUAAAUGUUUAUUUUUCAUGUAAAUGAGAUGUUUAUUUUUAAUGUAAAUGGGAUAUUUUAAUGUAUUUAAUGGUCAAUUUAAGAUGGUUAUUUUAAUAGGUAUGCAGAUGAUUAUUUUAAUUUUUAUGUAGAUGAUUAUUUUGAUUGGA